UACGUAGGGGGCAAGCGUUGUCCGGAUUUAUUGGGCGUAAAAGGCUUGUAGGUGGCCACGCCAAGUCGGAUGUGAAAUCUCCCGGCUCAACUGGGAGGGGUCAUUCGAUACUGGCGGGCUCGAGGCCGGUAGGGGGAAGUGGAAUUCCCGGUGUAGUGGUGGAAUGCGUAGAUAUCGGGAGGAACACCAGUGGCGAAGGCGGCUGCCUGGGCCAGUUCUGACGCUGAGGCGCGAAAGCGUGGGGAGCAAACAGG
rnacentral:rRNA from 1 species